rnacentral:lncRNA from 1 species
AGGUGAAUGUUUGCACAGAGAGUGACGGAACAAGAUCCCCAAAGGAGAAGUGGUUAAUCCUUUGCUUUCAUUAGCCUAAGGAGAUUUGCUAGUUUGAGUCCUGGGAGAUGAGAUGGGGAAGAUGGGCCCAAGCUGCAACAUGAAGGUCCAUGAUGAACAGUUGGCAUCUCCUACAGUGCCUGCCACUUGGUAAUGUUCAAUGCAGCCAAGGGAGCUAAGGUAAUGAACAAAACAGAGAAGUUCCUACCCUCCCUGAUGUUCAUUCUAGCAAAUGGAGACAGAUGAUAGAAACUGCACAUCAUUGAGCAAGAGGGACACCAUGGAUAAUGGAAAGAUCUACGGCAAGGCUGGCUGUCUGCCCUGUCUAAGGAGGACGUACUGGACCAUCCUGCUCUGCACAUCCAGAUGUGUCCAUGAAUACAUCCAUAAAACGAUGGCCUGUGGAAUCCUAUAGGAAAAUGAUCCAGAGCCUGGGCGGUCAGAAGGAACAAACACUUGAUUUACAAAAUAAAUCUUCUAUGUUUAUGUUUUAAAGACACACAGAGGAAAAAC